UACGAAGGGGGCUAGCGUUGCUCGGAAUUACUGGGCGUAAAGCGCACGUAGGCGGCUUCUUAAGUCGGUGGUGAAAUCCUGGAGCUCAACUCCAGAACUGCCUUCGAUACUGGGAGCUCGAGUCCGGGAGAGGUGAGUGGAACUGCGAGUGUAGAGGUGAAAUUCGUAGAUAUUCGCAAGAACACCAGUGGCGAAGGCGGCUCACUGGCCCGGUACUGACGCUGAGGCACGAAAGCGUGGGGAGCAAACAGG
rnacentral:rRNA from 1 species